rnacentral:rRNA from 1 species
UACGUAGGGCGCAAGCGUUGUCCGGAAUUAUUGGGCGUAAAGAGCUCGUAGGCGGCCUGUUGCGUCCGCUGUGAAAACCCGGGGCUUAACCCCGGGCUUGCAGUGGAUACGGGCAGGCUGGAGGCAGGCAGGGGAGAACGGAAUUCCCGGUGUAGCGGUGAAAUGCGCAGAUAUCGGGAGGAACACCGGUGGCGAAGGCGGUUCUCUGGGACGGUACUGACGCUGAGACGCGAAAGCGUGGGGAGCGAACAGG